rnacentral:rRNA from 1 species
UACGGAGGGUGCAAGCGUUAAUCGGAAUUACUGGGCGUAAAGCGUGCGCAGGCGGUUUGUUAAGUCUGUUGUGAAAUCCCCGAGCUCAACUUGGGAAUUGCAAUGGAUACUGGCAGGCUGGAGUAUGGUAGAGGAAGGUGGAAUUCCCGGUGUAGCAGUGAAAUGCGUAGAGAUCGGGAGGAACACCAGUAGCGAAGGCGGCCUUCUGGACCAAUACUGACGCUCAUGCACGAAAGCGUGGGGAGCAAACAGG